UCUGCUGCGAAAAGGCCAAUUAAAGCAGGUUCAUUGCUCCCAGCAAUACCUAGUGCUAUUUUUUAGACAUUCACAGCGCUGGCUCAGGAUCGAUAUCUUCAUCCUGUGUGCGUGUGUGUUUAAGAGAAUUGUUGUGAAUAUCUAACAGGAAAUUUGCUUUUUUCCUCCGAAUAUUUUAUGGGAGAAUCCUUGGUUCCAGUCAGAGGGGAAAGUGUGCUAAGAGAAAGGAGAGAAAAAACCCUUCUCGGCCGCCGCUCUUGAGAGCACAGGGAUGUAGAGUUUGUCUGCACUGGCGAGCAGCUUUCUCUAGGGGGGUAUGAAACAUGCUGGAGCCCAUUAGGAGUCGACGGCCACCAUGUUAAGCAUGCGGAAGGUGGCCUCCUCCCUAAUGAUGUAAAUGCUUGCCGACAGCAUCCCCGCACACAGCUUGCAUGAUGAAUCACACAGUCCGGGUAAACGAUGUUUCAGGUCCGGUCUGGCACUGUGCCAGCUUGCCAGCAUGCUAUUUUCUGCAAAGACUGCCAGGCUGCGUCCCGUUAAAUGCCCAUUGACGCAGAAUGGAACAAGGAUAAGCGGUUUGACAAUGGAUGGAUGGAUGGAUGAAAAUUUUCUCAAAAUGCAUGUUUAAAUAUGGA
ensembl:lncRNA